UCAAAAGCAGCUCUAGUGUUUGAAAUGUUUCUGUGGUAUAGAAUUUGAUUUGCAAUGAGAAUGUCUUGAAUGAAUUUCUAGCAUGACCCUAAGUUACAAGAUUUUAAGGGAAAAUUUUGGCUAAAUUAAAAAUUUGGCUAGAUUUAGCUGCCGCCCCAGUAUUGAAAUACUUCCAGGUUGUUGUAUUCUAGGAAGUAGUUCUUUGAAAUUGUGAAGUCUCCAUUUUGAAGUCAACACUGUUUUGACUGGUUAAAUUUCAAAUGUAUUUAUUGACAUUGUGUAAAUUUUAUGUCAUUUCUGAUGUGUCUAACAGUUGUUUUGUCUGUUUUUUGCAGGACCACAUUCCCAUGCGGAAGGAUUAAAAAAGUACUCCGGACCAGAUGGCCUUGACAGAUGUCUAUGAAGAGGUGUACAGUGAUAGGACAGCAAAGACAAUAAAAUGAUACCGGGCAGACACCAGAAGAAACAACUAGAAACACAUCAGUCAGUAAGAUGAAUCGGAGUGAAAUAUAUAACAGGAUAGCAGCUGGGAGAUUUACCCUUCUAAAUAGCAACACCAGUGAUAGUGGUACAUACUGUCCACACAGGGAUCUGUGGUUAAGGACUACAUUUCCAUGCGGAAGGAUUAAAAAAGAACACCAGACUGGCUGUCUCGACAAAUGUGUAUUUGAAAUUUGAGCAGUACUGUAACUUCGAUGUGUAGCAAAAAAAAAAUAAUUGUUGAUGAUAGUGUUUUUCAUGGCAAGAUUCAAUGAGUCAGUGUUAAUCUUUAGAAAUACAGAGCUGCCAAUCAUGUAAUUUUCUCCAUGUCCAAAUGUGCUUGAUCUUCAAUACAACAAAGGAGGAGAAAUUGUACCGGGCCGACACUUACAUGCAAAAUAGUUAAUGUUGAAUAUCUCGGCAACUAAAGGAUUUACAGCAGUGAAACUUACAGCACACUAGUAGCUGAUAACAAUAAAAAUCUGUAGCUAAAAAGAUUUUAUGAAGGUUUAGGAAAUUUUUAUUUUAUUGAUUUUUGAGUCUGCUAAAUGCUGAAAGCAUUUGACGAGUCCUUGCUAUCGCCCGAUUUCUCAUUCUCAUUAAAUGGCCUCACAACACAGCGAAUAGAUGUAGUUCCAUUAGAUUGUCUCUAAUUUCAAAGAGUUCAUUGAUCGGAUGAAGUUCAGUAUGUUAAUCCCAUUUGCUAUGACCAAUUUACGAUGUAAUCUGUCAAAUUUAUGAAGUGUAAUUGUGCAAACUCUAAUAAAGCCAUGUAUUUUCUUUCGCGGUAACUCAUUAAGCAUAAACACGCAUAACGAUUCUGCGGAUCAUUUGGUAUACAUUUGCGCAUAUGAUUAUGGUGACUAAUUUUAUGCCCUUUUGUCACAAAAUAGCAAUUAUGAUAUUCA
rnacentral:lncRNA from 1 species